AGCUUGCUGAUACCGAUGGCGACCGGCGCACGGGUGAGUAACGCGUAUGUAAUCUGCCUGUAACAGAGGGGAUAACCCCGGAGAAAUCCGGCCUAAUACCUCAUAGCACAUAUUAUUCGCAUGAGUUUUAUGUUAAAGAGACUCGGUUACAGAUGAACAUGCGUUCCAUUAGCUGGUUGGCGGGGUAACGGCCCACCAAGGCAACGAUGGAUAGGGGUUCUGAGAGGAAGGUCCCCCACAUUGGAACUGAGACACGGUCCAAACUCCUACGGGAGGCAGCAGUGGGGAAUAUUGGUCAAUGGGCGAGAGCCUGAACCAGCCAAGUAGCGUGAAGGAUGACUGCCCUAUGGGUUGUAAACUUCUUUUAUAAAGGAAUAAAGUCGGGUAUGUAUACCCGUUUGCAUGUACUUUAUGAAUAAGGAUCGGCUAACUCCGUG
rnacentral:rRNA from 1 species